AUGGCUGUCGUCAGCUCGUGUCGUGAGAUGUUGGGUUAAGUCCCGUAACGAGCGCAACCCCUAUCCUUAUUUGCCAGCGGAUUAUGCCGGGAACUCUAAGGAGACUGCCGGUGACAAACCGGAGGAAGGCGGGGAUGAGGUCAAGUCAUCAUGGCCCUCACGGGGUGGGCUAGAAACGUGCUACAAUGGGAAGUACAAAGGGCUGCGAGCCCGCGAGGGUGAGCGAAUCCCAAAAAACUUCUCGUAGUCCGGAUAGGAGUCUGCAACUCGACUCCUUGAAGUCGGAAUCGCUAGUAAUCGCGAAUCAGAAUGUCGCGGUGAAUACGUUCCCGGGCCUUGUACACACCGCCCGUCACAUCAUGGAAGUGGGUUGCACCAGAAGUAGCUAGUCUAACCUUCGGGAGGGCGGCUACCACGGUGUGGUUCAUGACUAGGAUGAAGUCGUAACAAGGUAGCCGUA
rnacentral:rRNA from 1 species